rnacentral:rRNA from 1 species
CCUAAGGAUUAGUUUUUAGGUAAAACCUGCCCAGUGAGUAUUUAACGGCCGCGGUAAUUUGACCGUGCUAAGGUAGCAUAAUCAUUUGUCUUUUAAUUGAAGACUGGAAUGAAAGGUUUAACAAGAAAUUUGCUGUCUUAAAAAAUAAAAUUGAAUUUUAUUUUUUAGUGAAAAAGCUAAAAUAAUUUUGUGGGACGAUAAGACCCUAUAGAUCUUAAUUAUUUAGAGUGAUUAACUUUUAAACAUAAUUUUAUUGGGGCGAUAGCAAGAAAAGAAUAUCUCUUAAAACUUAGAAAUACUGAUAAGUAAAUUGGUAAAUGAUCCUAGAAGAUAGGUUAUUAGAAUAAGUUACCUUAGGGAUAACAGCGUAAUAUUUUUUUAGAGUUCUUAUCGAAAAAAAUGUUUGCGACCUCGAUGUU